rnacentral:rRNA from 1 species
GCUAAAAACUUAGCCUUANCUCUAUAAUUAUACUUACCCUAUUUUAUUUACACAAAACAAAACAUUCUUAAAACUUAGUAAAGGAGAUAAAAAAGUUUUUUAGAGCUAUAAAACAAGUACCGCAAGGGAAAAAUGAAAUAAAAAUGAAACAAAAUUCAAGCAUAAUAUAGUAGAGUUUUCCCCUCGUACCUUUUGCAUCAUGAUUCAACUAGUUUAACCACGCAAAAAGAAUUUAAGUUUGACUUCCCGAAACUAAGUGAGCUACUUAAGAGCAGCUAAAAGAGCCAACCCGUCUCUGUUGCAAAAGAGUGGGAUGACCCUUAAGUAGAGGUGAUAAGCCUAACGAACUUAGUGAUAGCUGGUUAUUCAGGAAAAGAAUUUUAGUUCAACUUAAAAUUACAUAAAUAAAAUAAAAUAAAAUUUUAAUUUUAAAGCAAUUCAAAUAAGGUACAGCCUAUUUGAAAUAGAAUACAAUCUAAACUAUAGGGUAAAUAUNAAAAAUUAAUGUAAUAAAGUAGGCCUAAAAGCAGCCAACUUUUAAACAGCGUCAAAGCUUAAUUCCAUUACUUUUUAAUACCAUUAUUUAUAAUGAACCCUUCAUUCCCACUGAAUAUUUCUAUAAAAUUAUAGAACCUUUUAUGUUGAAACUAGUAACAAGAAGUUAAACUUCUCCUAAAUAUAAGUAUAAGUCGACUAGGAUAAACCAUCGACAAUUAACGCUAAAAUUAAAUAUAUUAACCCCGCAAGAAAAACUUACAUUAUUCCACGUUAAUCUUACACCAGAAUAUUUAAGGAAAGAUNNAAAAAA